GCCCGUUUAGCUCAUCGGUAGAGCGCAUCACUAGUACCACACAUGAUUAUGAUGAGGUGACUGGUUCGAUUCCAGUAAUGGGCA
rnacentral:tRNA from 1 species